GGAAUAUAGCUCAGUUGGUAGAGUGCUUACCUAGCAUGCAUAAGGCCCUGGGUUCAAGUCCCCAGUACCA
rnacentral:tRNA from 1 species